AUUGAACGCUGGCGGCAGGCCUAACACAUGCAAGUCGAACGAGUGGCGGACGGGUGAGUAAUGUCUGGGAAACUGCCUUAUGGAGGGGGAUAACUACUGGAAACGGUCGCUAAUACCGCAUACCAUCGGAUGUGCCCAGAUGGGAUUAGGUAGUUGGUGGGGUAAAGGCCUACCAAGCCGACGAUCCCUAGCUGGUCUGAGAGGAUGACCAGCCACACGGGAACUGAGACACGGUCCAGACUCCUACGGGAGGCAGCAGUGGGGAAUAUUGCGCAAUGGGGGCAAGCCUGAUGCAGCCAUGCCGCGUGAAUGAAGAAGGCCUUCGGGUUGUAAAGGACUUUCAGUAUGGAGGCGUUAACUACAGAAGAAGCACCGGCUAACUCCGUGCCAGCAGCCGCGGUAAUUC
rnacentral:rRNA from 1 species